UGUUUGCGGCGGUUCGGGUAAUAGUGAUCGGAAAUCAUGUGAAACAUAUGACCCGAAAACAAAUCAAUGGACACAAAUUGCAUCAAUGCUUAUAGGAAGAUCUGGAUUUAAAUUGAUUGCAUUUAAUGAUAAAUUAUAUGCAUUGGGUGGACAUACAAAAGACUAUUUGCUAAUAGAAACGGUUGAAAUAUA